AAGAAAAUGAUGAAUCUGAUGAGGAAAAACCCAAAAGAGGGAAAAAGUGAAGAAGAAGAAAGUGAAAAAGAAUGAAGAAUUAGAGGAUAAGGCAGGGACCCAAAAGAGAAAAACAGUGAAGAAGAAAGUGAAAAUGAAAAAACAAAAUGAUAAAUCAGAGGAUGAGGUAGGGACCAAAAAGAGGAAAACAGUGAAAAAGAACGUAAAACUAGGUUUUUACCAUGGAAACAUUCACAACAAAUUUCUAUUAUUUUUUUGAUAAUAUUCUUAAUACAUUUUACUGCAUAUCAGACUACAGGUAACAAUGUGGUUUUUCAGAAUAUUUAUCAAAUCUUAGAACUAAUUUGCAAGUGAAUAAGCAAUAUUAAUAUUUCUGUUUAAUGUGAACUACCAAUCCCAUCAUCUGUAUUCAUACUUUAUAUUAACUGAAUGUAUAUAACGGAGUGCUAAUUCCUACUAUACAGUGAGAUUUUUUUUUUUAAUUUUUAAACUGAAUUUAUUAACAAAUAUUGAACAAAAAUCCAUACGUAUUGGGCUUAGAAUAAAUUGACUUAAUUAAAAUAUUUAUUAGUAAAAACUGGAAGCAGCUGUGGGAUUCAUGAUUAAGGAAUAAUGAGUUGUUCCCUCUCUUGCAGAAGCAACUCUAAAUAAUGAUGAUGAUGAUGCUUAUAUAGAUGAAGUUACUACUGGUGAGAUAUAAACUCAUUUUUGCCCAUUUCAUCUAUACUUAUUUAUGGUGAAGUUAUAGAAGGAUUUAAUUCAUCUUUUUUCUUUUCAUUGCAGUAGAAAAUGCAUUUGCACAGAUUGAAACAGAUGAAGAGCGCACAAAUAGUACAAUUCCUGCUUCUCUUGUCAGUAUUAUUGCACUCAUGGCCCAUGUAUAUUACAUAAUGUUUUUUGUUUCUGCUGAACCUCAACCAUGUAUUAUAGCUAUAUUGUAUUCUGUAAUCUUCUAUAGUUUCAGAGAUUGAUAAAGGCAUUUUUGCUGCUGAAAUGGAAGGCGCCAAUAAGCAGAUAAUCCUCACUGGGGGAUGCAUAAUUGGCUUGCUAGCAGCUGGAGCACUAAUCUAUUAUAUCGUAAUAAAGCGAUAUUUCAAGAAGUAUCACUUUCCCCUUUUCUUUUUUAACAUUUAUCCUAUUCUUUUCCUAUUUCCUGUUACAGAGAAACUGAAAAUACAAAAGAUGGAUUAAAGGAAACAGAGGAAGGUGAGGCAGAACAGGUCACCAAAGGUAAAAAGAAAGUGAAAUAGAAUGAAGAAAAUGAUGAAUCUGAUGAGGAAAAACCCAAAAGAGGGAAAAAGUGAAGAAGAAGAAAGUGAAAAAGAAUGAAGAAUUAGAGGAUAAGGCAGGGACCCAAAAGAGAAAAACAGUGAAGAAGAAAGUGAAAAUGAAAAAACAAAAUGAUAAAUCAGAGGAUGAGGUAGGGACCAAAAAGAGGAAAACAGUGAAAAAGAACGUAAAACUAGGUUUUUACCAUGGAAACAUUCACAACAAAUUUCUAUUAUUUUUUUGAUAAUAUUCUUAAUACAUUUUACUGCAUAUCAGACUACAGGUAACAAUGUGGUUUUUCAGAAUAUUUAUCAAAUCUUAGAACUAAUUUGCAAGUGAAUAAGCAAUAUUAAUAUUUCUGUUUAAUGUGAACUACCAAUCCCAUCAUCUGUAUUCAUACUUUAUAUUAACUGAAUGUAUAUAACGGAGUGCUAAUUCCUACUAUACAGUGAGAUUUUUUUUUUUAAUUUUUAAACUGAAUUUAUUAACAAAUAUUGAACAAAAAUCCAUACGUAUUGGGCUUAGAAUAAAUUGACUUAAUUAAAAUAUUUAUUAGUAAAAACUGGAAGCAGCUGUGGGAUUCAUGAUUAAGGAAUAAUGAGUUGUUCCCUCUCUUGCAGAAGCAACUCUAAAUAAUGAUGAUGAUGAUGCUUAUAUAGAUGAAGUUACUACUGGUGAGAUAUAAACUCAUUUUUGCCCAUUUCAUCUAUACUUAUUUAUGGUGAAGUUAUAGAAGGAUUUAAUUCAUCUUUUUUCUUUUCAUUGCAGUAGAAAAUGCAUUUGCACAGAUUGAAACAGAUGAAGAGCGCACAAAUAGUACAAUUCCUGCUUCUCUUGUCAGUAUUAUUGCACUCAUGGCCCAUGUAUAUUACAUAAUGUUUUUUGUUUCUGCUGAACCUCAACCAUGUAUUAUAGCUAUAUUGUAUUCUGUAAUCUUCUAUAGUUUCAGAGAUUGAUAAAGGCAUUUUUGCUGCUGAAAUGGAAGGCGCCAAUAAGCAGAUAAUCCUCACCGCGGGAUGCAUAAUUGGUUUGUUAGCAGUUGAAGCACUAAUCUAUUAUAUCGUAAUAAAGCGAUAUUUCAAGAAGUAUCAAUUUCCCCUUUUCUUUUUUAUGUUGUACCCCGAUAAAACAAACCAUUUAUCCUAUUCUUUUCCUAUUUCUUGUUACAGAGAAACUGAAAGUACAAAAGAUGGAUUAAAGGAAGCAGAGGAAGGUGAGGCAGAACAGGUCACCAAAGGUAAAAAGAAAGUGAAAUAGAAUGAAGAAAAUGAUGAAUCUGAUGAUGAGGAAAAACCCAUCACCACACUAUAUGGAAAUGAGCUGAAGAGGAGUCAGGAGUCACCUGAAAUCUUGAGUCAUUUCCAAUUGGUUUUUGCUAUGGAAACACAGAUAUCUAUUAUUUUUCAUAUUUGUUUUAUAAUAUUCUUAAUAUAACAUUCAAGUGCAUAUCCGACUACAGGUAAAAAUGUUGUUUUACAAAAUAUUUAUCAAUUUAGAACUAAUUUGCAAGUGAAUACGCAAUAUUAAUGUUUCUGUGUAAUGUGAACUACCAAUCCCAUUAUCUGUAUUGAGAAGCAACUCUAAAUAAUGAUGAAGACGAUAAUGCUUACAUAGAUGAGAUUACUACUGGUGAGAUAUAAACUCAUUUUUGCCCAUAUCUUCUAUACUUAUUUAUGGUGAAGUUAUAUAAAGAUUUAAUUCAGAUUUUUUCUUUUCAUUGCAGUAGAAAAUGCAUUUGCACAGAUUGAAACAGAUGAAGAGCGCACAAAUAGUACAAUUCCUGCUUCUCUUGUCAGUAUUAUUGCACUCAUGGCCCAUGUAUAUUGCAUAAUGAUUUUUGUUCUGCUGAACCUCAACCAUGUAUUAUAAUUAUAUUUUAUUCUGUAAUCUUCUAUAGUUUCAGAGAUUGAUAAAGGCAUUUUUGCUGCUAAAAUAGAAGGCGCCAAUAAGCAGAUAAUCCUCACUGGGGGAUGCAUAAUUGGCUUGCUAGCAGCUGGAGCACUAAUAUAUUAUAUCGUAAUAAAGCGAUAUUUCAAGAAGUAUCACUUUCCCCUUUUCUUUUUUAACAUUUAUCCUAUUCUUUUCCUGUUACAGAGAAACUGAAAGUACAAAAGAUGGAUUAAAGGAAGCAGAGGAAGGUGAGGCAGAACAGGUCACCAAAGGUAAAAAGAAAGUGAAAUAGAAUGAAGAAAAUGAUGAAUCUGAUGAUGAGGAAAAACCCAUCACCACACUAUAUGGAAAUGAGCUGAAGAGGAGUCAGGAGUCACCUGAAAUCUUGAGUCAUUUCCAAUUGGUUUUUAACAUGGAAACAUACAGAUUUCUAUUAUUUUUUAGAUAAUAUUCUUAUUCUAUUCAAGUGCAUAUCCAACUACAGGUAAAAAUGUUGUUUUACAGAAUAUUUAUCAAUUUAGAUCUAAUUUGCAAGUGAAUACGCAAUAUUAAUGUUUCUGUGUAAUGUGAACUACCAAUCCCAUUAUCUGUAUUCAUACUUUAUACUAACUGAAUGUAUGUAACUGAGUGCUAAUUCCUAAUAUACAGUGAGAUUUUUUUUUAAAACCAAACUGAACCUGAAGCAGCUGUGGGAUUCAUGAUUAAGGAAUAAUUAAUUGUUCCCUCUCUUGCAGAAUCAACUUUAAAUAAUGACGACGAAGAUGAUACUUACAUAGAUGAGAUUACUACUGGUGAGAUAUAAACUCAUUUUUGCCCAUAUCUUCUAUACUUAUUUAUGGUUAAGUUAUAUAAAGAUUUAAUUCAUCCUUUUUCUUUUCAUUGCAGUAGAAAAUGCAUUUGCUAAGAUUGAAACAGACGAAGAGCGCACAAAUAGUUAUAUUUCUGCUUCCCUUGUCAGUAUUAUCGCACUCAUGGCCCAUGUAUAUUGCAUAAUGUUUUUUGUUUCUGCUGAACCUCAACCAUGUAUUAUAAUUAUAUUUUAUUCUGUAACCUUCUAUAGUUUCAGAGAUUGAAAGAGGCAUUUUUGCUGCUGAAAUGGAAGGCGCCAAUAAGCAGAUAAUCCUCACUGGGGGAUGUAUAAUUGGUUUGUUAGCAGCUGUAGGGCUAAUAUAUUAUUUUGUAAUAAAGCGAUAUUUCAAGAAGUAUCACUUUCCCCUUUUUUUUUAUGUUGUACCCUGAUAAAACAAACCAUUUCUCCUAUUCUUUUCCUGAAAGAAACUGAAAGUACAAAAGAUGGAUUAAAGGAAGCAGAGGAAGUUGAGGCAGAACAGGUCACCAAAGGUAAAAAGAAAGUGAAAUAGAAUGAAGAAAAUGAUGAAUCUGAUAAUGAGGAAGAAACCCAAAAGAGGGAAUAAGUGAAGAAGAAGUGAAAAAGAAUGAAGAAUUAGAGGAUAAGAAAAUCUAAAGGCAUGGAAGGUGGAUUUAAGAAAGCAGAGGAAGGCAAGACAGGACAGGUCCCUAAAGAAAAAAAAAGGUGAAGGAAGUCAAAAAAUCAAGAGUCAGAAAAAGAAAGCAAAGAAGAAAGAAACAAUGUAGAAAAUUAUGGAUCUGAGGAUGAGGAAUGGAUGCAAAAGAAGGAAAAAGUGAAGAACAAUUAAGAAAAUUACAAGAAAAUCAUCUGAAAGUACAGCAGAUGGCUUAAAGCAGAAGCAUUAGAACUGAAGCACUGAAGCAGAGGAAGACAAGGCAGGACAGGCCACCAAAAGAAAAACUGUAAGGAAGUCAAGAAAGAAGUCAGGAAGAAUAAGGAACCAAGAAGAAAAUUAAAAAUGUAGGAAUUCAGUAUUCAGUAUUACUAAAUGGUUGUGCCAUGAACAUCAUUUAAGGUAAAACUCCACACAGCUACCCCUAGUCCAGCGAUACCCGCUUGUCUUUAAGGUGGUAGAAAGCAGAAUGAGCCAAGCUGUUUCUCUGUAUCACGCUAGGUUGGGGGUGGCAUUAUCCUUCCAUAGGCUAACUAUAAAUGGAAACAGUACUCCAGCCUAUUGAAGGAUCAAUCUGCCCCAACCCAGCGGGAUGGACACAAUUGCAAAGAAUCCUUUUACUGUGUCGGAGUGUCACUUGGGACCACUUGGCUGGGGGCUCCUUUGGGGGACUUUUUGCUGGUUAGAUUUUUUUGCUGCAACUCAUUAGUAAUACUAACAUGUUCCUAUGACUUUUCAUUAGGAACAUGUUAGUGUCCCUUUCUUGGGACUUGUCUCCUUAUUUGAAGUAGACUAAUUUGUAGCAGACUGCAAAGCUAAAUGUUGAUUGGUUGCCAUUGGUAACUACUCUUGUUCAGAGAUGGGACGAAAAUCACUCGAAUAGCCUGCAUAGAGCAAUGACAUCAAUAUGUUAAACACCUGGAAGAUGACAUGAGCUAGGCCUGAAUGCCUAAUAUCAGUGUCAACACCAUGAGGCUUUAAUAAAAGCAAAUUCCACCACCAACAUCAAGUGAAAGCCUUCCCCAAAGAUUAGAGGCUGUUAUAGCAGCAAAAGGAGGGACAAGUUGGUACCAAGGUAUCCAGAUACUUUUGCCUAUUUAACAUGUCUGGCUAAUGUACAGGUGCAAAGAAAAGGCACCCAUAGAAAUAAGGCUAUUGCCAUUUUCAUUAAAGUAGACUAAUUAAACUUUAGUCCUAUCUGGUUGCAGUUUGUUUCUGCACUGGGGCAAAUUUUUCCUGGAGUACCUUAAUCAGUAAGGAUUUCUUUGGGGAUACCAAUACAAAAUAACAUAUGUACCAGUUCUUCAUAAAGGGAUCACCUCUGAGUCGCUUAUGGCAUAUUUCAAAACCAAUAGUAUAUAUUGGUAUCCCCUAGAGAAUUUCAGCAAUGGUCCAAUUAAUUUUACAGUUAUUCUUUCUAACAGAAACUCUGUGAUGGGAAGAGGUACCAAGGGGAUCUAAGAUGUGGCAUAGGCCCAGUUAACUAACACUCUGGGAAAGACCUCUUGAACUCUAAAAAACCUACGGAAAUUAGGUUCUUUCGGUUUAGCACAGCCCAGGUGUCCUGCAAACACAUGUGGGCCAUAUCUUAUACCAUUCUGCUACAUGGUUGGGGUACUAAUAGCUAUUCUACUAUUUCCCUGUGAAUAUCAACUUGGUACAGCAAAUCUUGGAUUUUUUAGCCAAGUGUGGCUAUACCUCCAGGAAAAUGAGGUUUUCUGUUUGUUUUAUUUCCCCAGGCAUUUAUUAGCAUCAGGUACCUUAAUUGGGCAGUCCCAAAAUUAUUACACAAAACCUCUAAUAUGAACAUAUGGGUAAACAGCCUCAAACUCAUAAGUCUCUGGAAGUACAGCUACCCUUCACACAGAGUCUGGCACAAAACUCUUUCUGCUGGCUCAGGACUGUAAUCAAUAGGUACAGCCUUAGUUAUGCCUUAAUAUGAACUUAUUUCUUUUUAUACUGGG